UCUCAGUUCGGAUUGCAGGCUGCAACUCGCCUGCAUGAAGCCGGAAUCGCUAGUAAUCGCGGAUCAGCACGCCGCGGUGAAUACGUUCCCGGGCCUUGUACACACCGCCCGUCACACCACGAGAGUUUGUAACACCCGAAGUCGGUGAGGUAACCUUUUUGGAGCCAGCCGCCUAAGGUGGGAUAGAUGAUUGGGGUGAAGUCGUAACAAGGUAGCCGUAUCGGAAGGUGCGGCUGGAUCACCUCCUUU
rnacentral:rRNA from 1 species